CCAUAAUACAGAUUAUUUGUCAAGUUGAUAAAACUCUUAAGGUACAUAUCGAUAUUUUAUCAUUGAUUGAAUUGUUUUGAAAUGAAUGUUUCACCUAGAAUGAUUCAACUAAUUGAGUUAAUAGCUGUUGGCAGUGAAUCUGUUUCAGGUUCAUAAUAUUACUAGCAUAAUAGCACCUUUAAUGUGCUAACACAUUAACACCGAGCAGAUUAGAAAGGAUUACAAAAAA
rnacentral:lncRNA from 1 species